rnacentral:rRNA from 1 species
ACUCAAAUGAAUUGACGGGGACCCGCACAAGUGGUGGAGCGUGUUCUUUAAUUCGAAGUUAAGCGAAGAACCUUACCAGGGCUUGACAUAUUGACUAAUCACUGCGAAAGCAGAGAGUGCCUUCGGGCCGUCAUUACAGGUGUUGCAUGGCCGUCGUCAGCUCGUGUCGUGAGAUGUUUGGUUAAGUCCAUUAACGAGCGCAACCCUUAUGAUUAGUUGGAUUUUUCUAAUCAGACUGCCUCGGCAACGGGGAGGAAGGAGGGGAUGAUGUCAGGUCAUUAUUACCCUUACGUCCUGGGCUAGAAACGCGCUACAAUGGCCGGUACAAAGGGCAGCCAACCCGCGAGGGGGAGCAAAUCCCAUCAAAACCGGUCCCAGUUCGGAUUGCAGGCUGAAACUCGCCUGCAUGAAGCCGGAAUCACUAGUAAUCGUAGGUCAGCACACUACGGUGAAUACGUUCCCGGGUCUUGUACACACCGCCCGU